GACGAACGCUGGCGGCGUGCUUAACACAUGCAAGUCGAACGGAAAGGCCCUGCUUUUGUGGGGUGCUCGAGUGGCGAACGGGUGAGUAACACGUGAGUAACCUGCCCUUGACUUUGGGAUAACUUCAGGAAACUGGGGCUAAUACCGGAUAGGAGCUCCUGCUGCAUGGUGGGGGUUGGAAAGUUUCGGCGGUUGGGGAUGGACUCGCGGCUUAUCAGCUUGUUGGUGGGGUAGUGGCUUACCAAGGCUUUGACGGGUAGCCGGCCUGAGAGGGUGACCGGCCACAUUGGGACUGAGAUACGGCCCAGACUCCUACGGGAGGCAGCAGUGGGGAAUAUUGCAAAAUGGGCGGAAGCAUGAUGCAGCAACGCCGCGUGCGGGAUGACGGCCUUCGGGUUGUAAACCGCUUUCGCCUGUGACGAAGAGUGAGUGACGGUAAUGGGUAAAGAAGAACCGGCUAACUACGUG
rnacentral:rRNA from 1 species